ensembl:lncRNA
CUGCGCCAUACUACCAAGUCCCUGCCUGUGUGUGUAUCCUAUGAGCACAUCACGAAGAGAGAACUUGGGAACCUUCCAAACCAUUCCGGUUGUCUCUCGACAACGCUCUACGGUCACACGCAGACGGCAACGCAAUGUUGCUAACCUGCAUCCUAUCUCUACAUCCUCUACUGCACCUCUUUCUUUCUCUAUGGGUCUCUGGAAUUGUCAGUCAGCUGUCAACAAAGCAGACUUCAUUUCUUCUUUUUCUUUAAACUCCACACUUAGCAUCUUGGGCUUGACUGAGACCUGGAUUCGUCCAGAAGACUCAGCAACCCCAGCUGCUCUUUCGAACAAUUUCUCUUUCUCUCAUACCCCCCGUCAGGUUGGCCGGGGUGGGGGCACUGGUCUGCUCAUUUCUAACAAUUGGAAAUACUCAACCCACUCUCCCCUAUGCAAUUACAACUCAUUUGAAUCUCAUGUGAUCACUAUAACAGCUCCCGUAAAACUCCAGGUUGUGGUAAUUUACCGCCCUCCUGGGCAAAUUCUAUCCACCUUCCUAGAAGAGCUGGAUGGGCUGCUGUCCUCAUUCCCGGAGGAUGGCAGUCCACUUUUAGUCUUUGGCGACUUCAACAUUCAUCUGGACAAGCCUUAUGCUACAGACUUCCAUUCACUCCUUGCUUCAUUUGAUCUCAAACGACUUACCACCACAAGCACGCACAAAUCUGGCAACCAACUUGACUUAAUUUACACACGCAGUUGUACUGCAGACAAUAUUCUGGUCAAACCCCUACAUAUCUCUGAUCAUUUCUUCAUUACAUUUCAACUACAUUUUGCUACCUGUGUGCCACCAACCCCCAUACCGGUUACUUUUAGACGAAACCUACGCUCCCUUUCCCCCUCCCAUCUUUCCUCCGUUGUAUCCUCCUCUCUUCCCUCACCUACCCAUUUCUCAUCUCUGGAUGUGAAUGCAGCAACUGACACUUUAUGCUCUACUUUAACCUCUUGUCUAGAUGAUAUUUGUCCUCUCUCCUCCAGGCCAGCACGGGCUGCCCCCUCGAACUCCUGGUUAUCCGAUGUUCUUCGUGAACAUCGGACCAAACUCAGGGCAGCUGAGAGGAAAUGGUGCAAAUCAAAAGAUCCGUCAGACCUAAGUAUGUAUCAGUCUUUGCUUUCAUCUUUCUCUGCUGAAGUCCAUACUGCCAAAUCUUCAUACUUCCACAACAAGAUCAACAGCGCUCCAGACACACGUAAUCUCUUCAAAACUUUCCAUUCUCUCCUCUGUCCCCCUCCACCACCUCCUACCACUUCUAUAACAGCUGAUGAUUUUGCCACAUUCUUCACAGACAAAACCAGAACAAUCAGUAGCCAAUUCUCAGCCCCACACACACAGGACUUCAAACCAACCCCACCCACUCCAAAAACUCCCAUCUUCUCCUUCUGUCCCCUUACUGAGACAGAAGUAUCAAAACUUCUGCUCUCCAGCCAUCCUACAACAUGCCCUCUAGACCCAAUCCCCUCACACCUCCUCCAAGCAAUCUCUCCUACACUUUUACCAGCACUCACACACAUCAUCAAUACAUCUCUCCUCACAGGCACCUUCCCCACUGCAUUCAAGCAGGCUCGGAUAACCCCACUGCUCAAAAAACCUACAUUAAACACUUCACUUACAGAUAGCUACAUACCUGUCUCUCUCCUUCCAUUCAUAGCGAAAACCCUCGAAAGAGUUGUUUUCAACCAGAUAUCAUUGUUUCUUUCACAGAACAACAAACUGGAUCCUAACCAGUCAGGUUUCAGGAGUGGCCAUUCAACUGAGACUGCGCUACUGUCAGUCACAGAAGCCUUGCGGAUUGCAAAAGCUGAUUCCAAAUCAUCAGUCCUUAUUCUGCUGGAUCUUUCUGCUGCUUUUGACACUGUCAAUCAUCAGAUCCUCCUGUCUGCCCUCUCUUCAAUGGCAUCACAUGGAUUCCACUUCGCUGGUUUGAAUCCUAUCUCACUGGUAGGUCUUUCAGGGUGUCUUGGGGAGGGGAGGUAUCCAAAGCACAUCAACUUGUCACUGGGGUUCCUCAGGGAUCAGUUCUUGGACCCCUCCUCUUCUCCAUGUACACAACAUCACUGGGUCCCAUCAUACAAGCACAUGGCUUCUCCUACCAUUGCUAUGCUGAUGACACACAGCUCUAUCUCUCGUUUCAACCAGAUGAUCCAACGGUAGCUGCACGGAUCUCAGGCUGCCUGGCAGACAUCUCGGCAUGGAUGAAAGAAUAUCACUUACAGCUCAACCUGGCAAAGACUGAGCUUCUUGUCUUCCCUGCCACUCCAACUCUACAGUAUGAUUUUUCCAUCCAGCUAGGUUCUUCUACAAUUACCCCAUCAACUUCGGUCAGAAAUCUUGGUGUAACUUUUGAUAACCAGCUGACCUUCAAAGACCACAUUGCAAAGACCGCUCGAUCUUGCAGGUUUGCAUUGCACAACAUCAGAAAGAUCAGGUCCUUUCUAACGGAGCAUGCUGCACAACUUCUUGUCCAGGCCCUUGUCAUCUCUAGGCUGGACUACUGCAAUGCUCUUCUGGCUGGACUCCCAUCAAGCACAAUCAAACCUCUACAAAUGAUUCAGAAUGCAGCGGCACGACUGGUCUUCAACGAGCCCAAAAGAGCCCAUGUUACACCUCUCUUCAUCUCCUUGCACUGGCUACCGGUUGCGGCCCGAAUCAAGUUCAAGACAUUGAUGCUUGCAUAUAGAACAGCCACAGGCUCAGCACCCGCCUACUUCCACUCACUACUACGAAUUUACAUCCCCUCCAGAAGUCUGAGAUCCGCUAGUGAGCGACGCCUCGUGGUACCAUCACAGAGAGGCUCAAAAUCACUUUCCAGAACAUUCUCGUUCACCACUCCUGGCUGCUGGAACGAUCUUCCCACCCCUAUCCGGAAUGCUGAAUCCCUGACAAUUUUCAAGCGACAGCUGAAAAC